UACGUAGGGGGGCUAGCGUUGUCCGGAAUCAUUGGGCGUAAAGAGCGUGUAGGCGGCCCGGUAAGUCCGCUGUGAAAGUCGGGGGGCUCAACCCUCGGAUGCCGGUGGAUACUGUCGGGCUAGAGUACGGAAGAGGCGAGUGGAAUUCCUGGUGUAGCGGUGAAAUGCGCAGAUAUCAGGAAGAACACCGAUGGCGAAGGCAGCUCUCUGGGACGGUACUGACGCUGAGACGCGAAAGCGUGGGGGAGCGAACAGG
rnacentral:rRNA from 1 species